UGUGUGAAAAGCUCUUGAUAAGAAAACAUUUUAUUACACUUCAAAUAGUCUCAUAAAAAUUUCCGGUACAAAUUUUGGCUCAAAAUUUGUUUUCACAACAUCCACUCCAGUGACAACAAGACAAGGAAACUCACCUAACGUAACAAGUCGAUUGUGGUCAAAAAGAAAGGAAAAAAUUAAGGAGGGAAAAUUAAUUUAUUGUUGUCCACCUUUCCACCAGUAAUAGCAACAUGCCAGGAAAUAAGCCCCCUGAUUGGAAUUUUAAGCCGCUUGGGUGUCAACUCCAAGAGCCAUCGAAAGAAAGUACUUUGCAUGGUAAUGGAAGGUAAUUUAAAAAAAGCAUAAGUAAAGCUCUUAAAAGUAAAGACCGACGAAAAUUAAACAUUUACAUUCAUACAAAUCGGGUUGAUAAAAUAUAUUUUGGCCAUAUUAAAAUUAUGGUAUUUAGGGUCAAACUAUCGUCUACUAAAUAAAGGGAAGUAAAGAUUUAUAAUCUUCUAGCAGUUUAUUAGUCGAUGACAUGCUGUGAUGCAAUUUAUGAAUUUCGAAAGUAUGAACAAUUUUUUUUAUUUGGUUUUUUUAUAAUAAACAUUAUAAUUGCAAA